UACGGAGGGCGCAAGCGUUGUUCGGAAUCACUGGGCGUAAAGCGCGUGUAGGCGGCCGGGCAAGUCGGAUGUGAAAUCCCGAGGCUCAACCUCGGAACUGCAUUCGAAACUGUUCGGCUCGAGUCCCGGAGAGGAUGGCGGAAUUCCCGGUGUAGGGGUGAAAUCCGUAGAUAUCGGGAGGAACACCAGCGGCGAAGGCGGCCAUCUGGACGGUGACUGACGCUGAGACGCGAAAGCGUGGGGAGCAAACAGG
rnacentral:rRNA from 1 species